rnacentral:rRNA from 1 species
AGUGAACGCUGGCGGUAGGCCUAACACAUGCAAGUCGAACGGCAGCACAGUAAGAGCUUGCUCUUACGGGUGGCGAGUGGCGGACGGGUGAGGAAUACAUCGGAAUCUACUUUUUCGUGGGGGAUAACGUAGGGAAACUUACGCUAAUACCGCAUACGACCUACGGGUGAAAGCAGGGGAUCUUCGGACCUUGCGCGAUUGAUUGAGCCGAUGUCGGAUUAGCUAGUUGGCGGGGUAAAGGCCCACCAAGGCGACGAUCCGUAGCUGGUCUGAGAGGAUGAUCAGCCACACUGGAACUGAGACACGGUCCAGACUCCUACGGGAGGCAGCAGUGGGGAAUAUUGGACAAUGGGCGCAAGCCUGAUCCAGCCAUACCGCGUGGGUGAAGAAGGCCUUCGGGUUGUAAAGCCCUUUUGUUGGGAAAGAAGAGCAGCAGGUUAAUACCCCGCUGUUCUGACGGUACCCAAAGAAUAAGCACCGGCUAACUUCGUG